rnacentral:miRNA from 1 species
AAUGGUGAAAGACUGGUUAAUGAUGAGAAAGCCUGCAGAAGGAAAGAAUGCUUCAUGGACCAUUGGUUCUUUGGGUGUUUCAGGCAGUUUUAAAUUAUUAGUUUUUACAAUCAAU